rnacentral:misc_RNA from 1 species
AUACCUCAACUCUCAUGGUUUGCCAUGAUGAGCUUGGACUUUGGGGGUCUUGCCGGCCUACGGUCGGCUCCUCUCAAAUGGAUCAGCUUGCCAGUGUUUGGUGGCAUCACAGGUGUGAUAACUAUCUACGCUUGUGGUUUUCCACCAGGUAACCUUCAGUGAUGGAGGUUCGCUGGAGCUCAUAAAUGUCUCUCCUCAGCGGGGACAGCUUUUGAAC